ACCAGCAACCAAAAGCAUCUACUGAUCUAAAAUGUAAAAUACCUGUUGAUCCACUAAUCCAAUCAGUCCAUGUAAAUAAUUGGUGUAAAAUGCAGUUUGUCAUCUUUGCAUGGUCAUCAGAUAUGACCCACUCGGAUGUUCAGAGGCCCCUUAGUGAAUGUGGAAACACCGUCAUCUUCUACAACAUUGAGUCACCAGUAAAACCCAUGGACUUUGAUAAAUGACAGUGGACGGACACACUUGUUUUCACAUUCGGUUAUUGAUAUCUCAGCUGAAAAUGUGGCUUUUUC